UCUCUGUGGAUAAGUGUCAGAGCCAAAUCAGCUAACAGUCUACAGCAGCAUCCGAGGAACAGGGCUUGGCGAGUCGACCCUCCCCAUAUAAAAGGCCAUAGAAAAGGAAUACAGGAAAUCCCACCCAAACUGUAUGAGCCGUAUCUGAAUCACACUAUUUUCUUUGGUAAGGUAAGCAUUCAUUGAAAGCUCAAAAUAUCAUGAUUGGGGAGCAUUUACUGUUUACUGGAUAAAUAGUUUUCUGCUGCAAAAUGUAUUAAAGAGCCUUGCUUAUUAUUGUGCUAUGCCUGUAAGAUAUCUCCAGUAUAAGAAACCCACACCGUGUAGCUUUGUCACAGAAACUAGCUGUUAAAACAACAGUUUUGUAUAUCUCUUUUCUAUUUAAGAUUAUUUUUAAAAUGAUUAUAUACAAUUAGCACAUAAUUUGACAUUCUAAACUGGGGGAAACAAAAGGGGGUAAAAUAAUGUAUAGAAAACAGAAUCGGAAUACUAGACCCCAAACUGCCUCUUAUUACAGUACUGUGACCAAUCCCAUAUCCAUCAAUGACUCAUUCUAACGUUACUGCCCUUUAGUCCAGCCCUGUUGUACAUUGUUAUACUGUGCUACCUGGAAAUAGGGUUAAUAGAUUUUCAGAGAGAAAAACUGGGAUGUUUUUACUUUUUUUGACUUGAUUGAUGCCAUACCAACUCUGAGUACAUUAAAAUAGUAUACAGUAACACCAUUUAUUAAUUGUAUGUUUCUAAUUAUUAUAUAGCUACCUCUAAUCAAGUUGAGAGUGCAUUUCUUACACAGUAGCAACAUAAUUAGAGGGAGCCACCAAACACUUAUUGCAAACAUACAAUAAACAAUUCACUGUUUUCUUUCUAUUGUCAUCUGACGAUAGAACCAGGACAGUUUAACAAUUUUACUAUUUCUGAUCAGGACACAAAAGUUUAACUUGACAACUAGGACAAGCCCUGUUUUCCUGGGACUUAUGGUGACCCUACCUGUAAAGGAUACCGGUAGAUUAAUAACAAACUGCCCCAGUACAAAGAAAAAAACACUGCUUUAUUUACUAAUAAUUCAUUUUUAUUAUGCAGGUACUAUGUUUACAAUGGCGACUACAUUUUUAAAAUUGACUCUUGAAGUUCUUAACAUUUUCUAGUUUUGAAACAAAAAGAAAAUAAUUAAAAUGGUUAUCAGCGUUGUUGAGCCACCAUUUAAAGAAUCCAAAAGUACUGUUUGACAAUUUCAUGAAUAUCACUUAAUCUUAAUGAAAAAGGAGUAUUUUUUACAUUUGUUAAGAACAGUAUAGAAAAGUUUAAGGAGCUCUGUUUAGUUUAUCAAAAACAGUAUUCAAAUAUAUCAUGAGUUUUAGGCCUCAAGCUUUUUAAGACCACAUGGCCUCGUUCUCAGAGUAAAGUUGGUUUGAGACCCAGUAAUUUUACCCUGGAUAAAUACAGGCUUUUGUCCUUUAACUCCUGAAGGUAGUGUACCAUUGAAAUGUGUCCCGGUACUCAUUAGAUAAAUAAAUCAGGUGAGAUUUUGUUCCACUUUCUGCUGCUCUGUUUUACUUUGUACCUCUCCAGCUUUGUAACGGAUCACCCAGUGCAGGAACACACCAAGGAUAUUCUUCUUCCUGGACUCUCCAUCUGAGAGUGAGCUUUACUGAAUCUGUCACUGUCGAGCUGCACUGAGGAUUUGAGUGACGCCUAGCGGAAGUGAAAAGCCAGUGUCCAGUUACACACCAAUGGAGGGGGCUGCCAUUUCCCUGUGUCCUAACGAAGGAGCCUACCGUGGUGCGCACUUGCUCUGGGUCGACACUGGUUAGCGGGAAGAAGGCACAGCAAGAAUUCUGGUCUCAUAAACCUCCAACCAAAUUCAAUUGAUAAGUUAAAGUUCAUUAUAAAAACGCAAAAAACUUCAGGUGACAAAUGGGCCUUGAUGGAUGUAGAUGUCAGACAUGCUGAAUCAUUUUGCGUUACGAAGUUAGUAAAAAAAGCACGACAGCGGAUGAAAGAUGCCUUCCCUUUAUCACUUUACCAUCAUCCUGCCGCUGCUGCUGCUGUUUAGUAGCUGUGGAAAAUGCACUGCCUGUAAUGAAUCCUGUAAUGUUGUUUUCUCAAAUACUAACGAUGUGCACUGAAAGUCUGCUUCAGCUAAAGCAACAGUAUUAUCACCCUUGGUUCUUUAAACUACUGAAUCAUAUAACAGCUUUUGUUUUCAAUGUCUUGAAUAUGAGGACAACCAUAUUAUAUCAAGACAAAAUCAAUAAAAUUAUGUUUCACGGGAGAACCAAAUAGGCAGCUUGUGAAAGUGCCAGCGCUGUAAGGCUUUCUUGCUCUGGUAAUGAUCAUAGUAUAUAUAUAUAUAUAUAUAUAUAUAUAUAUAUA